rnacentral:rRNA from 1 species
UACAGAGGGGGCAAGCGUUGUUCGGAAUUACUGGGCGUAAAGGGCGCGUAGGCGGCCUGUUAAGUCGAACGUGAAAUCCCCGGGCUCAACCCGGGAACUGCGUCCGAUACUGGCAGGCUUGAAUCCGGGAGAGGGAUGCGGAAUUCCAGGUGUAGCGGUGAAAUGCGUAGAUAUCUGGAGGAACACCGGUGGCGAAGGCGGCAUCCUGGACCGAGAUUGACGCUGAGGCGCGAAAGCGUGGGGAGCAAACGGG